UGAGUAACCUGCCCUUCACUCUGGGAUAACUCCGGGGAAACCGGGGCUAAUACUGGAUAUGACUCGAACAGGCAUCUGUUUCGGGUGGAAAGAUUUAUUGGUGGAGGAUGGACUCGCGGCCUAUCAGCUUGUUGGUGAGGUAAUGGCUCACCAAGGCGACGACGGGUAGCCGACCUGAGAGGGUGAUCGGCCACAUUGGAACUGAGACACGGCCCAGACUCCUACGGGAGGCA
rnacentral:rRNA from 1 species